rnacentral:rRNA from 1 species
UACGUAGGGUGCGAGCGUUAAUCGGAAUUACUGGGCGUAAAGCGUGCGCAGGCGGUUCGUGAUGUCUGAUGUGAAAGCCCCGGGCUCAACCUGGGAACUGCAUUGGAAACUAGCGGGCUGGAGUGUGGCAGAGGGGGGGUGGAAUUCCACGUGUAGCAGUGAAAUGCGUAGAUAUCGGGAGGAACACCAGUGGCGAAGGCGGCUUCCUGGCCUGUUCUUGACGCUGAGGCGCGAAAGCUAGGGGAGCAAACGGG